UGAUUUACCAAUGCGGAGUUU
rnacentral:miRNA from 1 species